rnacentral:rRNA from 1 species
GACGAACGCUGGCGGCGUGCUUAACACAUGCAAGUCGAACGGAAAGGCCCUGCUUUUGUGGGGUGCUCGAGUGGCGAACGGGUGAGUAACACGUGAGUAACCUGCCCUUGACUUUGGGAUAACUUCAGGAAACUGGGGCUAAUACCGGAUAGGAUCUCCUGCUGCGUGGUGGGGGUUGGAAAGGUUCGGCGGUGGGGGAUGGACUCGCGGCUUAUCAGCUUGUUUGUGGGGUAGUGGCUUACCAAGGCUGUGACGGGUAGCCGGCCUGAGAGGGUGAACGGCCACAAUGGGACUGAGAUACGCAGCAGAAUGCUACGGGAGGCAGCAGUGGGGAAUAUUGCACAAUGGGCGGAAGCCUGAUGCAGCAACGCCGCGUGCGGGAUGACCGCCUUCGGGUGGUAAACCGCUUUCGACGGAGACGAAGCGGGAGUGACGGUAAUGGGUAAAGAAGCACCGGCUAACUACGUG